AACGAACGCUGGCGGCAUGCCUAACACAUGCAAGUCGAACGAGACCUUCGGGUCUAGUGGCGCACGGGUGCGUAACGCGUGGGAACCUGCCCUUAGGUUCGGAAUAACUCCCCGAAAGGGGUGCUAAUACCGGAUAAUGUCUUCGGACCAAAGAUUUAUCGCCUUUGGAUGGGCCCGCGUUGGAUUAGCUAGUUGGUAGGGUAAAAGCCUACCAAGGCGACGAUCCAUAGCUGGUCUGAGAGGAUGAUCAGCCACACUGGGACUGAGACACGGCCCAGACUCCUACGGGAGGCAGCAGUGGGGAAGAUUGGAAAAUGGGCGAAAGCCUGAUCCAGCAAUGCCGCGUGAGUGAUGAAGGACUUAGGGUUGUAAAGCUCUUUUACCCGGGAUGAUAAGGACAGUACCGGGAGAAUAAGCUCCGGCUAACUCCGUG
rnacentral:rRNA from 1 species